rnacentral:tRNA from 1 species
GGCCCGCUAGCUCAAGUGGCAGAGCAGCUGACUCUUAAUCAGUCGGUUCCAGGUUCGAGUCCUGGGCGGGUCACCA